CCUAACACAUGCAAGUCGAACGGUAAGCGGUGCAUAUUGCUUCGGUGAUAAUGUGCCGUGGAGAGUGGCGAACGGGUGCGUAACACGUAGGUAACCUGCCCUGAAAGGGGGGAUAACCACGGGAAACUGUGGCUAAUACCGUAUAAUCUCGCCGUGGCGGUGGUUACGGUGAGGAAAGCUGAGGCGAUUUGGGAGGGGCCUGCGGUCGAUUAGCUGGUUGGUGGGGUAAAGGCCCACCAAGGCGAUGAUCGAUAGCUGUUCUGAGAGGAAGACCAGCCACACGGGAACUGAGACACGGUUCCGACUCCUACGGGGGGCAGCAGUGAGGAAUAUUGCGCAAUGGGGGGAACCCUGACGCAGCAACGCCGCGUGGAGGACGAAGGUUUUCGGAUUGUAAACUCCUUAACUGGGGGAAGAGAGAGGACGGUACCCCAGGACGAAGACACGGCUAACUAGGUGCCAGCAGCCGCGGUAAUACCUAGGUGUCGAGCGUUAUCCGGAAUUA
rnacentral:rRNA from 1 species